UGAAGGCUGAAAAAUCAUUGAGGAUUUUAUUUGCUCUUCUUUUAGAUAUCUUUUGAUUGGAUCAUUGUGAAGAUGAGCACGCUGGAGUGCCUUGCUCAUGGUCACACAGAAGGAGGAAGAAGCUCACUGCAUCCAGGCACAUCUGCAUCAAAAUCUGUGCUGAAGAGCCCACAUGGGGGUGGAGUCUCUAUGGCAAAAAAGCCCUUCCUGCAUUUUGGCAGUUACACAGGCUUUCUGAGAAGAUGGGGUAUUUUUCACUAGACUAUGAUCAUCAGUGGACCUCUAUCUUCUCUAUCUUGUUUUAUCUGAGAUUAUUCUGAGUUUCUGAUAAAAGUUAUGGGCCCUGUUUCUGAAAACAUACACACAAGAAACAAUACUCUGCUUAUACGUUUGGAAAGUGGGGGAGGUCACAGACCCCAGAAGCCCAUUCUUCAGUUGAGAAUCCCUGACCUAAAGAAGGAUCUUAUCUUUUGAUAAGACCUUCUUCCUUGGGCAGCCUGGGUGGCUCAGCGGUUUAGCAUCUGCCUUUGGCCCAGGGUGUGAUCCUGGAGACCUGGGAUCAAGUCUCCCUGCAUAGAGCCUGUUUCUCCCUCUGUCUGUGUCUCUGCCUCUCUCCCUCUCUCUCUGAAUAAAUAAAAAAUAAUAAUCUUAAAAAAAAGACCU
rnacentral:lncRNA from 1 species